GACGAACGCUGGCGGCGUGCUUAACACAUGCAAGUCGAACGGAAAGGCCCUGCUUUUGUGGGGUGCUCGAGUGGCGAACGGGUGAGUAACACGUGAGUAACCUGCCCUUGACUUUGGGAUAACUUCAGGAAACUGGGGCUAAUACCGGAUAGGAGCUCCUGCUGCAUGGUGGGGGUUGGAAAGUUUCGGCGGUUGGGGAUGGACUCGCGGCUUAUCAGCUUGUUGGUGGGGUAGUGGCUUACCAAGGCUUUGACGGGUAGCCGGCCUGAGAGGGUGAACGGCGACAUUGGGACUGAGAGACGGCCCAGACUCCUACGGGAGGCAGCAGUGGGGAAUAUUGCACAAUGGGCGGAAGCCUGAUGCAGCAACGCCGCGUGCGGGAUGACGGCCUUCGGGUUGUAAACCGCUUUCGCCUGUGACGAAGCGUGAGUGACGGUAAUGGGUAAAGAAGCACCGGCUAACUACGUG
rnacentral:rRNA from 1 species